AUGGAUUAUACAACCAGGGUCAUUGCUUUCCAUGGACUGUUUCACACUAUUGUCUGUCAGACAGACAAUUCCCCAUGCCCACUUUUAGCUUUAUGUAAUUCAUUAAUUCUAUUGGGCGAGCUCAACUUAAAUUUAAGGCAAGGUGUCUGUACUAUAUCAGAGAAGAAACUUAUUGAGCGUGUCUCUGAUUAUUAUAUGACUAAGGCCACUCACAAGGUGUCGAAAAUUAGGAAAACUACAAAUAAGUCCGUCAAACGCUUGGCACAACCCAUUCAAUGUAAAAUGAUGCUCACAAGUGUUGAGCAUAUGGAGAACAGCGGAGAACUCAAAUUAUUUGAGCAAUUGGGUAUUAAAGUUUAUCAUGCCAAUGUUGUUGAUCCCAAGGAAGAAGAACUGGUUAGAGCCGUAGGGACAAAUACAUUUGACACCCUUUUGGCUGGUCUUGCUGCACAUAAAGCUAAGACAGAUGUGCAGAGUCAUUCUCCCGGUUCUUCACAGGUGGAUGAGAGUGCAUCAUCGCAUUUGGAGGCAGUCGAUUAUGACAGUAUUCAGUCUAUAAAACAACAGAUGAUAGAUAAGAAUGAAACCCUACAUGGAACUUUACUUCUGUUACAAAAUACUUCAGAUCAGGUUGAAAAGCCUAUUGCAUGGCAGCAUAUCAAUGAUGUUUUGGACAGCUCAUGGACACAAGGGAAUGACUAUGUUGCAAAAUCUGUGUAUUUUAGAGGUUGCCGGACAUUCAUUAUUUAUCCUAAUAUGAAUGGCUCAUCCGCACUGGUAGCACUAUGUAAGUGUGUCUCAAUUGUGAUGCAAAUUUAG
rnacentral:rRNA from 1 species